rnacentral:rRNA from 1 species
GUCUAUGGCCAUGCUACCCUGAACAUGCCCUAUCUCACCCAACCUCGGAAGCUAAGCAAGGUCAGGCCUGGCUACUACUUGGAGGGGAGAAGUGACUAGCCC